rnacentral:lncRNA from 1 species
UCGUGUUCAUGCCAAUAUUGUGAAUACGUGAUUUAACCAAGAGCAAUUUGACAAAUUCCAUCUAUGCAAGACUAUUCAUAAUAAUAACAACCAUAAACCUAACAACUGUAGCAAUUUUGACUCAUGCAAAGCAAGGAAAAGAGCUUAGAUUUUUACUUUACUUCACUAAUAUAGAACCAAACUCAAGGGUAAAUCAAAGAUGAGCAUACAAGGCCCAGUUCUGAUACUACUAACAAACUAUGAUGAACAUUUUCUAUCUAACAUGCUUUAGACAUCCAAUCACAACCCAUCUCUCAAUAACUACACCCAUUAGAAUCUCUACGUAUUACAUGUGAAUUAUAAAAUUGAAAGAAGAAAGGAUGAUUCAGAUAGCAUAGCAUCCAAUUUCGUCUUAUUCAAAUCGAUACUUCAAGUUACACAUCAAUUGAUAUCUGUAGGGCUGUGUAAUACCUGGAAAAUGAAAGGAAAAUAGGUGAAGAAGAACACUCAACACCCAAAAAUGAGCCCAAGACUAACUUUUGAAACUAGCAGAUGAGAUGCAACAGUCCAGAUUUUAACUUGAUACUGAAAGAGUCAACAGACCCCAAACCAGACUUAAUGCCAUUUCAACUCCAAAUGAAGAAGCAGAUUUGAAAGAUCAAAAUCUCAAAGCCCAUACAGAAUUCUAAUGGAAUAAUAAUCUAGCAAUCCCUUUUUUGAGUUCUACUAAGAAUUAUAAAAUCUCUGAUUUUCAGAAUGUAUAAGCUUUGUAUUUUUUUCCAUAUUCAGCUCUUAAAAAUCUUCCAUUUUCAGAAUGUUCAAGGCUGCUUUUUAUUUUUUUUCCAGCUCUCUCUAUGGUCUUCCUUCUAAAGGCAGAAAGAGUGUGUCUUUAUAGGCAAGCAAAAUAGGGUAGCCUUACAGGUUUAGUUAUUUCAAUCUAAUCCUUUUCAGAUUUUGCUUUUGCUACUUGGUCCUUUAUUUUAUGACUUGUUCCCCAAGAUCUACUACCCAAAUCAUGAAAUUCAAAUCCAAACCCCAUACUAGAAGCUUCCAAAUCCGUUAUACUAAAUAUUCCCUAAGUGCAUUACCCAGUUUACCCUUAUUUACCCCUUAAUUUACUCCUUGAAAUUAUUGGGUUGACUGGCUAAUCUGAGUAGGCUACGGACCCUAAAUUGUAUCACCUCUAAUGCCCCUUUUUGGGAUUUUGAUAUUUCUACUGGACCAAUUAAAAUCAUACAAAGAAUCCAACUGUAAAGACUAGCCCAGAAUUCUCCAAAAGAAAAAAAAGCACCGGAACUCCUUAAAAAUGCAAUCAUAAUGAAAAGAAAGCAGGUGAAUUAAUUAACCUAAACAACAAUAUGAAAUUAACUAAUCUAUUUUAUUAAUUAACUAGGUGACUAACUAGAAUAAAAAACAUAUGAUUUAAACUACCUAAAACUAAACAAAUUUAGACAGGAUCGGAGAAUAGUCUUGGAAACAAAAGAAAGAACAAAGAGAAAGAUUAUCGAAGACCAAACAAACAUAUUCCGAGCUCGGCUGAAAAUUUGAUGAAAUUUCAGAUAAGGAAAAACAAAAGAAGGAAAAGGGACAACACAUAGAAAUGGAACAAGAAACAAACCUAAAAAGCAACGGAACUCACCGGCUAGACUCGAACUCGAGAAUUGACGCUCCAACUUCAUCCCCAGAUAAUAUUAGUCACUUGUUCUUUGUAAAAAACAGAUGAACAACACUAUUUCGUGACAAAACUGGUUCUAAAACUCAUGCAUGCCCAAAUUUAGGUUUAGGUCUUAGAACCCGGAUUUGGGAUUUAAGAUUCGAGGAGAUUAAAGAGGAUUUGAGGGAAAUAAAUGGUGGAUUUGGUCUGAUUGGGUCUUGACAAUUCUGUGGUGUUAAUUUGGGAGUUAUUAGAGGUGGCGGUGCCGGCAACCAACAGUGGAGAACUAGGGCGGCUCAGCUAGGGUUCGUGGGUGGAUCGGUCUCUGAAAGAGAAGAUAUGGGGUGGUUCUGAGGGGCGGGGUCCGUUUCGGUCAUAUAAAUAGUCUGGGGAGAUCAGUUCCCAGCUGUUAGAUCAGUAAAGAUCAAUGGCUGGGUUCCAGGGAAAUGGACGACGUCGUUUCAAUUAUUAGGGGGUAAGGGAGACCGGGUAAGGAAUG